rnacentral:rRNA from 1 species
UACGGAGGGUGCAAACGUUGCUCGGAAUCAUUGGGCGUAAAGCGCACGUAGGCGGACCGCUAAGUCGGAUGUGAAAGCCCUCGGCUUAACCGAGGAAGUGCAUUCGAAACUGACGGUCUUGAGUAUGGAAGAGGGUCGCGGAAUUCCCGGUGUAGAGGUGAAAUGCGUAGAUAUCUGGAGGAACACCGGUGGCGAAGGCGGCAUCCUGGACCGGUAUUGACGCUGAGGCGCGAAAGCUAGGGGAGCAAACGGG